rnacentral:tRNA from 1 species
ACUUGAAUAGCUUAUUUAGAGUUUAAUAUUGAAGAUGUUAAGGAAGUAAUUUUACUUUCAAGUA